GAUGAAGAACGCAGCGAAAUGCGAUACGUAAUGUGAAUUGCAGAAUUCAGUGAAUCAUCGAGUCUUUGAACGCACAUUGCGCCCCCUGGUAUUCCGGGGGGCAUGCCUGUCCGAGCGUCAUUGCUGCCCUCAAGCACGGCUUGUGUGUUGGGCCUCCGUCCUCCUCCCGGGGGACGGGCCCGAAAGGCAGCGGCGGCACCGCGUCCGGUCCUCGAGCGUAUGGGGCUUCGUCACCCGCUCUUGUAGGCCCGGCCGGCGCUUGCCGACACAUCAAUCUUUUUUCCAGGUUGACCUCGGAUCAGGUAGGGAUACCCGCUGAACUUAAGCAUAUCAAUAAGCGAGA
rnacentral:misc_RNA from 1 species